rnacentral:ncRNA from 1 species
AUCUUAUCAAGAGAGGCAGAGGGACUGGCCCUAUGAAGCCCGGCAACCAAAGGUAGUUAUUUUAAACUUUAUGGUGCUAAAUCCAGCAGGAUUAACCUGGAAGAUAAGAA